UGAUAAAAUUUUCUGCAUCAAAUGUACCAUGCAUCUCUAAUGGUUAUCAGAACCACCAUGUAUUCUACAGUUACACCACACAGUGUCCUGGAUAAUGGUAAAGUCUCUUGACUACCAUGAUAAAAUCCUCUGGUUACCAAAAUUUCAGAAUCAAUUGACUUACAAAUGCACUAUGCAUCUCUCAUGGUUAAGAACCACCAUGUAUUCUUGUAACACUACACAAUGUCCUGGAUAAUGGUUUAAGUCUCUUGACUACCAUGAUAAAAUUCUCUGGUUACCAAAGUUUCCAAAUCAAUUGACUUACAAAUGCAUCUACCAUGCAUCUCUCAAGGUUAAGAACCACCAUCCCUUCUGCAGUUCUACCAUGUUACGUCCUGGGUAAUGGUAAAGUCUCUUGACUGCCAUGAUAAAAUUCUCUGGUUUCCAAAAUUUCAGAAUCAUUUGGCUCACAAAUGCUAAACUAGCGAUAAGCUGUAAAGUUUAAGAGAGAAAUAAUGACCUCA